UACGGGGGGGGCAAGCGUUGUUCGGAAUUACUGGGCGUAAAGGGCUCGUAGGUGGCCAACUAAGUCGGACGUGAAAUCCCUCGGCUUAACCGGGGAACUGCGUCUGAUACUGGAUGGCUUGAGUUCGGGAGAGGGAUGCGGAAUUCCAGGUGUAGCGGUGAAAUGCGUAGAUAUCUGGAGGAACACCGGUGGCGAAGGCGGCAUCCUGGACCGACACUGACACGUCGA
rnacentral:rRNA from 1 species